rnacentral:lncRNA from 1 species
ACAUGAGCAAAGUCAAAGGUCCGGUUCUUUUAGACCGGAUGGGGGGAGAGGCCGAACAGCGCCCACAUGCGCCCCCACAGCCUUGCUAGGGACAGGAGGAGAACCUCACCCUAACAUGAGCAAAGUCGAAGGCCCGGUUCUUCUUAGACUGGAUGGGGGGAGAGGCCGAACAGCGCCCACAUACGCCCCCAUAGCCUUGUUAGAGACAGGAGGAGAACCUCGCCCUAACAUGAGCAAAGUCGAAGGCCCGGUUCUUUUAGACCGGGUGGGGGGAGAGGCCCUUGCAACGACCUUUAUGUGCCCCCACAGCCCCGUUGGGGACAGGAUGAGAACCUCGUCCUAACCUAAGCUGA